ACAGCAUUCAAAAUAUUUCCCCAAUCCCCUUUUUGGAGCCUGUUUUCUUUUUGCCUUUCGCUUUAACACCGAGACCUAACUUGUGCGACACUGCCGUUCGAACCACCACUCAAACGAUGGAUGAUUGCGCUUGCAUCAAACGAUCGACGACGACUGCUACUACCUUCCCUCUCUGUACCCACCAUCAAAAGACGAUUCAACUGCCUCAAACGAUCGACGACUGCGCUAGCCUCAAACGAUCGACAACGAAGCCGACGACGACUGCUACUGCCUUCCCUCUCCGUCGUCUCUCUGUCCCCACCCUCAAACGACGAUUCUACUGCCUUAAACGAUCGAUGACGAAGCCCACCCUCAAACGCGACUGCUACUGUUUCAAACGAUCAAUGACGAAGCCCACCCUUAAAUGACGCCUGCUACUGUCUUCCCUCUCCGUCGUCUCUCUGUCUGUGUAAUGGACAAAUCUAUGAUGUGCUAGUUAAAAAAGUUAAUAACGACCCUCAAAUUCUUCUGAGAAAGGCUCAUGCUGCUAUGUCUGCUACUGGUUCAGCUACUGUUCAGAAUUAUUGCAAUGAUGGAGGGAUGGCAUUCUCAAAAUUGCUAAUGUUGGAGAUUAUGGCAUGCUCAUAAUUGCUCAUGUUGGAGAUUGUGGAUUAAAGAUUAUUCGUAAAAGUCAAAUUAUAUUUUCCACGUCUCCACAAGAACAUUUCUUUGACUGCCCAUAUCAACUUAGCUCUGAACGGGUUGGCCAGACAUUCCUUGAUGCUACGGUGGUGAUGAAGAAUGGAGGAACAACUGUUCGAAGAGGGAGGCAUGCACUGUCAAGAAAAGCAGAACAGACAGAUCCAACAAACGACAUCAGGAUCGAACUUGGAGAGGCAAGAUUGACCUUGAUGCUACACUAGUUACUGAUGUACGAAGUUACAGGUUUGGCUUUGUUGUUAUUGUUGUUUAUGGGGUUCGUUCUUUCUUUGCUUAUCUUUUCCAUGUGGACAAGAUUUUGUUUCUACUUGGAAUGUGGCUGGUAAAUCUCCACCUAACUGUUUGAAUCUUGAAGACUGACUUCAUGCUUCCCCUCCAGUCGAUAUCUAUGUUCUCGGGAAUCAAUCUCAAUUAGUAUGUGUUUGCACCAAACAAGUUUCUGCUUCAUCUGUACUCAUCUGAUAUUUGGUGUCUACAUAAUGAUAAAUUGCUAUAUGUUUUAUAAAUUUAUGUAGGUGAAUAGAAUUGAGUCUUAACUAGAGGACUAAAGAACCAACGAUGACAGUUAGUACACUUAUGAACUUUGUUUGUAUUUUGAGGGUUAAUUUGUGUGGUUGGUACAUUUAGACUGCAAUAGUAAUUAAGUAAAUUACUGGCUACUUUAUUUUGUAAUUUUAGUACAUUAUGAAUGAAAGUUGUUAGUAUUCAUUGUGCUAUGAAGAAUUUAUGUUUUAGAUUUAACUAAAGUUGAGUCCUUGAAUUUAAAUUUAUCGAAAGAUAAUUAAUUCAAAAAUUAUUUUUUGAGAAAAAAG